GAUGAACGCUGGCGGCGUGCCUAAUACAUGCAAGUCGAGCGAAUGGAUUAAGAGCUUGCUCUUAUGAGGUUAGCGGCGGACGGGUGAGUAACACGUGGGUAACCUGCCCAUAGGACUGGGAUAACUCCGGGAAACCGGGGCUAAUACCGGAUAACAUUUUGAACCGCAUGGUUCGAAAUUGAAAGGCGGCUUCGGCUGUCACUUAUGGAUGGACCCGCGUCGCAUUAGCUAGUUGGUGAGGUAACGGCUCACCAAGGCAACGAUGCGUAGCCGACCUGAGAGGGUGAUCGGCCACACUGGGACUGAGACACGGCCCGGACUCCUACGGGAGGCAGCAGUAGGGAAUCUUCCGCAAUGGACGAAAGUCUGACGUAGCAACGCCGCGUGAGUGAUGAAGGCUUUCGGGUCGUAAAACUCUGUUGUUAGGGAAGAACAAGUGCUAGUUGAAUAAGCUGGCACCUUGACGGUACCUAACCAGAAAGCCACGGCUAACUACGUGCCAGCCGCCGCCGUAA
rnacentral:rRNA from 1 species